rnacentral:siRNA from 1 species
ACGUUAUGGGGAUUUUGGCCUGGU